rnacentral:lncRNA from 1 species
UUGGGUUUGUCGAAAGUCUCCAGAUAGGUUGGUUUUCUAAUAUUGGUGUAUUUGCUUGUUACUAGCUUCGAUAACAGGUCUACCCAAGCAUUCUCCAUCCUGGAUAUCUACAAGAAUUUGAAUUUAUCGAAAAGAGGGAUUAUUUCUCAUACCUUCUGCUGAUACUUUUUUAUGGAGGGCACCUUCACGUCUUAUUUUUUCAAACCUAGCCAACCACCAGUUGGGAAGUUGUUGAAGACUUGAAGGUGCAGGACUGUGAUUUCUUGGGCG